ACAUGCCUACAACAUAGCGUUAAUGCAUCGAAUCCGAUUAUAACUUCAUCAUUAAGCGCGCUCAGGCUAGAGUAGUAUUGGGAUGGGUGACCUCCUAGGAAGUCCUAGUGUAUUACAUGCC
rfam:Picea glauca, whole genome shotgun sequence.